GAUGAACGCUGGCGGUAUGCUUAACACAUGCAAGUCGAACGGUCACUUCGGUGAUAGUGGCGGACGGGUGAGUAACGCGUGAGAAUCUGUCUUCAGGUCGGGGACAACAGUUAGAAAUGACUGCUAAUACCGGAUGUGCCUUUGGGUGAAAGAUUUAUUGCCUGAAAAAGAGCUCGCGUCAGAUUAGCUAGUAGGUGGUGUAAGAGACUACCUAGGCUCCGAUCUGUAGCUGGUCUGAGAGGACGAUCAGCCACACUGGAACUGAGACACGGUCCAGACUCCUACGGGAGGCAGCAGUGGGGAAUUUUCCGCAAUGGGCGAAAGCCUGACGGAGCAAUACCGCGUGAGGGACGAAGGCUUUUGGGUCGUAAACCUCUUUUUUCAAGGAAGAUGAUGACGGUACUUGAGGAAUAAGCAUCGGCUAACUCUGUG
rnacentral:rRNA from 1 species